rnacentral:rRNA from 1 species
UUGAACGCUGGCGGCAUGCCUUACACAUGCAAGUCGAACGGCAGCAUAGGAGCUUGCUCCUGAUGGCGAGUGGCGAACGGGUGAGUAAUAUAUCGGAACGUGCCCUAGAGUGGGGGAUAACUAGUCGAAAGACUAGCUAAUACCGCAUACGAUCUAAGGAUGAAAGUGGGGGAUCGCAAGACCUCAUGCUCCUGGAGCGGCCGAUAUCUGAUUAGCUAGUUGGUGGGGUAAAAGCUCACCAAGGCGACGAUCAGUAGCUGGUCUGAGAGGACGACCAGCCACACUGGGACUGAGACACGGCCCAGACUCCUACGGGAGGCAGCAGUGGGGAAUUUUGGACAAUGGGGGCAACCCUGAUCCAGCAAUGCCGCGUGAGUGAAGAAGGCCUUCGGGUUGUAAAGCUCUUUUGUCAGGGAAGAAACGGUUCUGGAUAAUACCUAGGACUAAUGACGGUACCUGAAGAAUAAGCACCGGCUAACUACGUGC